AACAAGCUACUGACAAGAAGAACCUGUAAACUCCUGAUUUCUUAGGCAGGUUGGCUUAAUUUCAAACUCAUUCCUAUAAUAAUAAUCUUUUUAAAUGAUCAUGGAAAUCAAAUUAUAAUUUAUAUGGCUAUGGAAGAAUGAGCUAUUUGGAAAAGCUUCGCAUACCCCCCCCUCUGAAGGAAACAAAAUGUCACCUAAAUGAUGCCAUGGGAAGAAGCACGGGCUACAUUGCUGAAUGAUGAGAGACCAUGAAGAAAUAGAGUCAGUCUGUCCCCUGCUGUUCCAUCCGCACCCCCGCUCAAGGUUCCCAGGCGUGAAUGUGGCGGCCUCAGCUCCUCCACCUCCAGUGAAGAGGACCGCAGGGAAAAGAGACCAGCCACGCCCUGGCCAACUUGCAAAACUGUGAACAGCUAAGUGGCUGUGGUUACUUUAAGCCACAGAGUCAUGGGGGUGGUUUGUUAUGCAGCCAUGAUAAAUAAAACAGAUGAUGGAACUGAAUCA